UCAGGUUAAAGGAGAUGCCGUGAGAGGGGUUGAGACCUACCGAUGAGUUGCUGGAGGAGUUCUCCAGCUCUCUUUACUCACAUUUCCUAAACGGAGUUUCAGGAAUUUCCAUUAUAUCCUGUGGGAAUUGAAACAUCCUUCAAAGGUUUGCUCAGACUUUUCACCUUCACUGUUGAUCACAAAAACUCAGCUGGAGGUUGCUGAAUGCAUCAAACGAAGGGAAAGCCAGCCAGGAGAUGAGGCUGGGAAGUUGUGAGCAGGGAGCGGACAUGAGCCUGCAGGGUGAGGUGCUUCAGGCUCAGAGCAGCAGUGCAAGACCAUCUGCUCUCCAUGUGCCCAGGAAGACCUCGAAGCAUCCUCCAGACCUGGUUAUGGAUACAGGAAGGGGGAGGCGAGCAGCAAUCAAGGCGAGUGACUCGAGAACCAGCCCUGCACCAUAAACCCCAUGCAGUCAGGAACCAGGGAGUGGGCACACAGUAGGUGCUCAUGAAUGUCUGGAGAGUACAAGGUGGCUGGAGCAGACAGUGAACGGUUCCUAAAUAGUUGGCCUGAACCUGUGCAGGACACAGGAGAGGGAAGGAGUGUGAGGGGUGGGGGGCAAGAGGACAGGGAAUUAUUACUUAGGGCAGGAAGUUCAAGGCUACAGAAAUUCUGACAGGUUGUGCUCAUUGUCGUUGUCAUUACCCGCACAGCCUCCCUCAGGGUGGUACUGCUUGGAAAGCCGUUAUGACACUGAUGGCCAGCAAAUAAUUAAGCUGUUUAGAGCUUGGGAAAUUUGUUCUCUGACUAAUUAAACUUUAUGGAUCUAGCUGUUCCCUAAACAUUAUUCUAAGAUUGCACGGUGAACAUUACACCUUGUGCACCAUUGGGCACCAUUAGAUUGGCAUUAGUGCUCACUAGGGGAUAUUUUAUGAUGUGUGCUUCUAAACUCCCAAGACAGAUGAAGCUGAGACACAUGUGAGUACCCCAUAAAACAAAUCCUAUCGGACUUUCAUUUCGAAUGCUUUGGCAUUCCCAGUUAAAAUGAUAAUGUAGUGGCCUUUUGCUCCACGUGUUAAACUCAAUGAGCAUCAUGAGAAUUCCAUCAUUUUAUCAGCAUCUGAUAUGCUAGAAAAAUAUAACUAUAAUAUAUGCU
rnacentral:lncRNA from 1 species